GUGGGGAAUCUUGCGCAAUGGGCGAAAGCCUGACGCAGCCAUGCCGCGUGAAUGAUGAAGGUCUUAGGAUUGUAAAAUUCUUUCACCGGGGACGAUAAUGACGGUACCCGGAGAAGAAGCCCCGGCUAACUUCGUGCCAGCAGCCGCGGUAAUACGGAGGGUGCGAGCGUUGUCCGGAUUUAUUGGGUUUAAAGGGUGCGUAGGCUGGAAGGUCAGUCAGCGGUGAAAAGCUGUCGCUUAACGAUAGUCUUGCCGCAGAUACUUCCUUUCUUGGAUGAGGAGGAGGCCACUGGAACGGAUGGUGUAGCGGUGAAAUGCAUAGAUAUCAUCCAGAACACCGAUUGCGAAGGCAGGUGGCUGUACCUUAAUCGACGCUGAUGCACGAAAGCAUGGGGAGCAAACAGGAUUAGAAACCCUUGUAGUCC
rnacentral:rRNA from 1 species